GAUGAACGCUGACAGAAUGCUUAACACAUGCAAGUCCACUUGAACUUCGGUUUGGGUGGCGGACGGGUGAGUAACGCGUAAAGAACUUGCCUCACAGAUAGGGACAACAUUUGGAAACGAAUGCUAGUACCUGAUAUUAUGAUUAUAUGGCAUCGUAUAAUUAUGAAAGCUAUAUGCGCUGUGAGAGAGCUUUGCGUCCCAUUAGCUAGUUGGAGAGGUAACGGCUCACCAAGGCGAUGAUGGGUAGCCGGCCUGAGAGGGUGAUCGGCCACAAGGGGACUGAGACACGGCCCUUACUCCUACGGGAGGCAGCAGUGGGGAAUAUUGGAAAAUGGACCAAGAGUCUGAUCCAGCAAUUCUGUGUGCACGAUGAAGUUUUUCGGAAUGUAAAGUGCUUUCAGUUGGGAAGAAAAAAAUGACGGUACCAACAGAAGAAGUGACGGCUAAAUACGUG
rnacentral:rRNA from 1 species